UGCGUAGGUGGUUGUUUAAGUCUGUUGUGAAAGCCCUGGGCUCAACCUGGGAACUGCAGUGGAAACUGGAUGACUAGAGUGUGGUAGAGGGUAGCGGAAUUCCCGGUGUAGCAGUGAAAUGCGUAGAGAUCGGGAGGAACAUCCAUGGCGAAGGCAGCUACUUGGACCAACACUGACACUGAGGCACGAAAGCGUGGGGAGCAAACA
rnacentral:rRNA from 1 species